GCUCAAUGAUUUUUUAAAUUGCUGUGGUAUUUUGACUAUACAAAGGUAUUGUAAUAAGGCUUUAAUUGGGUGCUAAAAGAAUGAAAUUACAAAAAAAGACUUUCUUAAUUUUAAUAAUUAAAAUUAUUUUUUUUUGUGAAGAAACAAAAAUAAAAAUUAAAGACAAGAAGACCCUAAGAAUUUUCUUUUUUACUUAAUAUAAAAUAUUUUAUUUAAAAAUUUAAUUGGGGCGAUUAAUGAAUAUUAAUAACUUUAUAAAGAAAUAAAAUGAUCCAUUAUUAAUGAUUGUUUGAUUAAAAUACUCUAGGGAUAACAGCGUAAUAAUUUUUGAUAGUUCUUAUAGAAAAAAUAGUUUGCGACCUCGAUGUUGGAUUAGGAUUCUUUUUUAAUGAAGAAGUUAAAAAAAGAAGUUUGUUCAACUUUUAAUUUCCUACUUGAUCUGAGUUCAGACC
rnacentral:rRNA from 1 species